rnacentral:rRNA from 1 species
UACAGAGGGUGCAAGCGUUAAUCGGAAUGACUGGGCGUAAAGGGCGCGUAGGCGGUUAGAUAAGUUAGAUGUGAAAUCCCUGGGCUUAACCUAGGAACUGCAUUUGAUACUAUUUGACUAGAGUAGGGUAGAGGGAAGUGGAAUUUCCGGUGUAGCGGUGAAAUGCGUAGAUAUCGGAAGGAACACCAGUGGCGAAGGCGGCUUUCUGGACCUAUACUGACGCUGAGGCGCGAAAGCGUGGGGAGCAAACAGG